rnacentral:tRNA from 1 species
GGGAGGAAAGCAUGAAUGUGUGGUUAACUUGAAAUUAACAGGUGGCAGUUAGAAUCUGCCUCUUCUCG